rnacentral:tRNA from 1 species
GGGGAUAUAGCUCAGUUGGUAGAGUGUUUGCCUCACAUGCAAGCCAUGGGUUCAAUCCCCAGCCCCA